UACGGAGGGGGCUAGCGUUGCUCGGAAUCACUGGGCGUAAAGCGCACGUAGGCGGACUCUUAAGUCAGGGGUGAAAUCCUGGAGCUCAACUCCAGAACUGCCUUUGAUACUGGGAGUCUUGAGUUCGGGAGAGGUGAGUGGAACUGCGAGUGUAGAGGUGAAAUUCGUAGAUAUUCGCAAGAACACCAGUGGCGAAGGCGGCUCACUGGCCCGGUACUGACGCUGAGGUGCGAAAGCGUGGGGAGCAAACAGG
rnacentral:rRNA from 1 species